rnacentral:rRNA from 1 species
AACGAGCGCUGGCGGCAGGCCUAACACAUGCAAGUCGAACGGACCCUUCGGGGUUAGUGGCGGACGGGUGAGUAACACGUGGGAACGUGCCUUUAGGUUCGGAAUAACUCAGGGAAACUUGUGCUAAUACCGAAUGUGCCCUUCGGGGGAAAGAUUUAUCGCCUUUAGAGCGGCCCGCGUCUGAUUAGCUAGUUGGUGAGGUAAAGGCUCACCAAGGCUACGAUCAGUAGCUGGUCUGAGAGGAUGACCAGCCACAUUGGGACUGAGACACGGCCCAAACUCCUACGGGAGGCAGCAGUGGGGAAUCUUGCGCAAUGGGCGAAAGCCUGACGCAGCCAUGCCGCGUGGAUGAUGAAGGUCUUAGGAUUGUAAAAUCCUUUCACCGGUGAAGAUAAUGACUGUAGCCGGAGAAGAAGCCCCGGCUAACUUCGUGCCAGCCGCCGCCGUAAUAC